rnacentral:rRNA from 1 species
UACAGAGGUCCCAAGCGUUGUUCGGAUUCAUUGGGCGUAAAGGGUGCGUAGGCGGCGUCGUAAGUCGGGUGUGAAAUCUCGGGGCUUAACUCCGAAACUGCAUUCGAUACUGCGGUGCUUGAGGACUGGAGAGGAGACUGGAAUUUACGGUGUAGCAGUGAAAUGCGUAGAGAUCGUAAGGAAGACCAGUGGCGAAGGCGGGUCUCUGGACAGUUCCUGACACUGAGGCACGAAGGCCAGGGGAGCAAACGGG